UCAUCAGUGAGGUCAAUCCUUAUUUGUUCCUCUACAGGGAGAAACAGUACAUGAGAAACGCAGGAGGCUGAAACGUGGUUAUAGCAGUUCCCCAUCUCCCGAGCGCCAACACAACUCGGGAGGUGACGUUCUGAU